UUUUAGUUUGCCCCCCCGAAACUAAGUGAGCUACUUUGAAAUAGCCAUGAGAGCCAACCCAUCUCUGUUGCAAUAGAGUGGGACAAUUUUUAAGUAGAGGUGAUAAGCCUAUCGGACUUAGAGAUAGCUGGUUUUUUAAGAAAAGAAUUUUAGUUCAGCCCUAAGCCUCCUAUUACACAAAUAUUUUACUAGACUUAGGUGUUAUUCAAAUAAGGCACAGCUUAUUUGAAACAGGAUACAACCUACAACAAAGGGUAAGACAAAUUACACUUUUGAUAAGUGGGCCUAAAAGCAGCCACCUUUAAAAAAGCGUCAAAGCUUAACAUUAAAAUUUAAUUAAUACCCAAAACAACUUCUAACCCUUAUUAACUAUUAAAAAACCCCAUAAUAUUAUGGAAGUUAUUAUGCUAGAACAAGUAACAAGAAAAAGACUUUCUCCAAAAUGUAGACUUAAGCCAUGAUAGACAAACUGAUGGCAAUCAACGUUUAUGAGCCACUUAUAGCAACCCACCAAGA
rnacentral:rRNA from 1 species